AACAAACGCUGGCGGCGUGCCUAACACAUGCAAGUCGUACGAGAAAGGGUCCUUCGGGGCCUGAGUAAAGUGGCGCACGGGUGAGUAACGCGUGGAUAACCUGCCCUUCAGUUGGGAAUAACUCAUCGAAAGGUGGGCUAAUACCGAAUAAUGCUGUGAGACCUCGGUUGAUCAGCCAAAGAGAGCCUCUGCUUGCAAGCCCUCGCUGAAGGAUGAGUCCGCGUUCCAUUAGCUAGUUGGUAGGGUAAUGGCCUACCAAGGCGACGAUGGUUAGCUGGUCUGAGAGGAUGAUCAGCCACACUGGAACUGAGACACGGUCCAGACUCCCACGGGAGGCAGCAGUGAGGGAUCUUGCGCAAUGGGGGCAACCCUGACGCAGCAACGCCGCGUGAGUGAGGAAGGUCUUCGGAUCGUAAAGCUCUGUCGGAUGGAAAGAACCGCAUAGGGGUAAACAGCCCCUGUGUCUGACGGUACCAUCAAAGGAAGCACCGGCUAACUCCGUGCCAGCCGCCGCGGUAACAC
rnacentral:rRNA from 1 species